rnacentral:tRNA from 1 species
AAAAAACUAGUUAAUAUCAUAACAAAAGAAUGUCAUUCUUUAAUAACCUAAUAAAGGUGUUUUUUA